CCAGCGUGCGGUGAAGCUUGCUGUGGAUGCCAGAAGAUCGGACCCAGUGCUAGGAUGCAGGUGGAGGUGGCUGUAUCAAGGAGCCCAAGAUUCCAGGUGCACAGAACAAUGGAGCUCUUGGCUGAUCUUAUUGUGAGGGGGAAGUGCAUGUUGGUUCGGUAGCUGAAAAGUCCUCCCUCUAGCAGAAAAUGGAAAUGCAUCUUGUUAAAGUACCUGAUUGGUCCCAUCAUAUAGAGGCCUAAUCUAGGUGGAAGCUUGUCUACAACACCAUCCCUUUAAAAAAAUAUCCUCAUAUUCAUUCUGUCCCAGGUAAUCAUGA